rnacentral:ncRNA from 2 species
GACGGCAUUGAUCGCGCCGGUGCCUCGCAAGGGGCUUAAAAUGGGAAUGCGGUGCGGAUGCUUACGGCGUCCAAAUCCGCGGCUGUCCCUGCAACUGUAAGCGGUGAGCGAGACGCAUAUCGACCUUCCGUGACGAUCGGGGGUCAGCCACUGGGCCGGACGCUAAAUCCUGCGAGGCCUGGGAAGGCCAUGUGUCGAGCGAUGACCCGCAAGCCAGGAGACCUGCCAGCGUCUGGUCGCUCUU